rnacentral:rRNA from 1 species
UACGUAGGGGGCAAGCGUUAUCCGGAUUUACUGGGUGUAAAGGGAGCGUAGACGGCAGAGCAAGUCUGAAGUGAAAGCCCGCGGCCCAACUGCGGGACUGCUUUGGAAACUGCCCGGCUAGAGUGCUGGAGAGGUAAGCGGAAUUCCUAGUGUAGCGGUGAAAUGCGUAGAUAUUAGGAGGAACACCAGUGGCGAAAGCGGCUCUCUGGUCUGUAACUGACGCUGAGGUUCGAAAGCGUGGGUAGCAAACAGG